rnacentral:rRNA from 1 species
AUUGAACGCUGGCGGCAUGCCUUACACAUGCAAGUCGAACGGUAGAGUAGCAAUACUUGAGAGUGGCGAACGGGUGAGUAAUAUAUCGGAACGUGCCCAGUCGUGGGGGAUAACGUAGAGAAAUUUACGCUAAUACCGCAUACGUCCUACGGGAGAAAGCGGGGGGAUCUUCGGACCUCGCGCCAUUAGAUGAGCCUAGGUCGGAUUAGCUAGUUGGUGAGGUAAUGGCUCACCAAGGCGACGAUCCGUAACUGGUCUGAGAGGAUGAUCAGUCACACUGGAACUGAGACACGGUCCAGACUCCUACGGGAGGCAGCAGUGGGGAAUAUUGGGACAAUGGGCGAAAGCCUGAUCCAGCCAUGCCGCGUGUGUGAGAAGGUCUUCGGAUUGUAAAGCACUUUAAGUUGGGAGGAAGGGUAGG